rnacentral:rRNA from 1 species
UUUAGGGGUAAAGCACUGUUUCGGUGCGGGCUGGUAAAACGGUACCAAAUCGAGGCAAACUAAGAAUACUAAAUGAAUAAUUUACCAGUGAGACUGUGGGGGAUAAGCUCCAUUGUCAAGAGGGAAACAGCCCAGAGCACCAGUUAAGGCCCCAAAAUGAUUGCUAAGUGGCAAAGGAGGUGGGAGUGCAUAGACAAUCAGGAGGUUUGCUUAGAAGCAGCAAUCCUUUAAAGAGUGCGUAAUAGCUCACUGAUCGAGUAAACCUGCGCCGAAAAUGUACGGGACUAAGUAAUCUGCCGAAACUGUGCGAUAUAUAAAUAAUUAAUAUAUCGGUAGGGGAGCGUUCUGUUGUAGGUCGAAGUAUUAGCGUAAGCGGAUAUGGACGAAGCAGAAGUGAGAAUGUCGGCUUGAGUAACGAAAAUAUAGGUGGGAAUCCUAUACCCCGAAAACCCAAGGUUUCCUCCGGAAGGCUCGUCCGCGGAGGGUAAGUCAGGACCUAAGGCGAGGCUGAAAAGCGUAGUCGAUGGACAACGGGUUAAUAUUCCCGUACCUGCUCACACUAAAAGUGACGGAUCUCUGGAGUUGCUGCGUACUGACGGAAUAGUACGUUGAAGCAGUAAUGCGAUAGUACACUAAGGCUACGGCCGCGGUGAUAAUGUAGCGAAGGAGGUUCCAAGAAAAGCGAGUGAAGCAGCCUGUACCGUAAACCGACACAGGUGGUUGGGAUGAGAAUUCUAAGGUGCUCGAGAGAUUCAUGGCUAAGGAACUAGGCAAAAUCGACCCGUAACUUCGGGAGAAGGGUCGCCCUCCAAUGGAGGGCCGCAGUGAAGAGGUCCAGGCGACUGUUUAUCAAAAACACAGGGCUCUGCUAAAUCGAAAGAUGAUGUAUAGGGCCUGACACCUGCCCGGUGCCGGAAGGUUAAGAGGAGAGUUUAGCUUCGGCGAAGAUUUGAAUUGAAGCCCCGGUAAACGGCGGCCGU